GACGAACGCUGGCGGCGUGCCUAAUACAUGCAAGUAGAACGCAGUUGCGAAAGGGUGAGUAACGAGUAGGUAACUGCCUGGUAGCGGGGGAUGACUAUUGGAAACGAUAGCUAAUACCGCAUACUCCAAAAUGGAACUGCGUUGUAUUAGGAAGUUGGUGGGGUAACGGCGCACCAAGGCAACGAUAAAUAGCCGACCUGAGAGGGGUAUCGGCCACACUGGGACUGAGACACGGCCCAGACUCCUACGGGAGGCAGCAGUAGGGAGUCUUCGGCAAUGGACGGAAGGCUGACCGAGCAACGCCGCGUGAGUGAAGAAGGUUUUCGGAUCGUAAAGCUCUUUUGUAAGAGAAGCGGUAUCUUACCAGAAAGGGACGGCUAACUACGUGCCAGCAGCCGCGGUAAUAC
rnacentral:rRNA from 1 species